ACACAGGUGGUCAGGUAGAGAAUACCAAGGCGCUUGAGAGAACUCGGGUGAAGGAACUAGGCAAAAUGGUGCCGUAACUUCGGGAGAAGGCACGCUGAUAUGUAGGUGAAGUCCCUCGCGGAUGGAGCUGAAAUCAGUCGAAGAUACCAGCUGGCUGCAACUGUUUAUUAAAAACACAGCACUGUGCAAACACGAAAGUGGACGUAUACGGUGUGACGCCUGCCCGGUGC
rnacentral:rRNA from 1 species